AGAUCCAACGAUUAAUUAAUUCCGUCCAACACUUUAAUUAGUCCAACAAUUUCCUCCUUCAAAACAAACAAAGGAAUUAAUCCAAUUCCUUGUGCCAACUGAUGACCCCCAACUUUAUACCAUCAAUCCAUCUAUCCAUUUUAGUAUUUUAUUUGGCUCAAGAUUUUAAUUCAUGUAAAAGGGCUACGUCUAAUCCAGCAACAAAAUUGAGUCCAACAAUAAAGCAUCACCACCCACUUAUCUCUGUCCUCGUCUUACACUUCCUUCUCCACAUCUUCUCCUCCUACUCUAACUCUCUCUUUCCUUCUUCACCUAAAACAGAAAACUUACAAUCCCUUAUCACCAUCACCUCGGCUGCUCUCUCUCUCUCUCUCUCCUCGCGUCGCUGUCAUAGUUCCGUCGCCCAACUCCACCGCGAUGUCACCGCUGUUGCCGUUGAGAAGAAGCAGAGUCACCACUCUCGUUUCUGCCGCGAGAGUCGCCGUCUUUCAGUGACACCGGUUCAUCGUUUCUCCAGGCCGGUCGUCGCUGUUUCGCAAAUCCGUGCAACGACACUGCCCCUCGACGUCUCCGCCACUGUUAAGUUUCCACAAUUUUAAUUAUUUUAGUUAUAGCCUAAGGCUGGUUAAAGAUUCAAGAUUCAGGCUUUGAACACAGAAUUCAUCGAUGAAAAACUCAAGCUUCCACAGAUUUUCGAUUGGAUUUUUCAUGAUAUGGAUGAUGCCGUUUAGGAUUGGGAGUGGAAGAAGAUUUGAAAAGAAAUUUGGGCUUCUUCAAGUGUAUACUCAAAAUAACUGGACUCGGAUGUAUUUAUAAAAUAAUUAAA